UUGAUUUCACUGAGCCUUCUGGGUCAUUGGUCUCAUUAUAUGUUCCUGAUCUAUUUACUUUUGAGGGCCUGCUUCAUUUUUGGUAUUACCAAUUAGAAAUUGUGGUCAUUUUUCCUCCUAUCGUCUCUCUCCCUGUCUCUCUAAAAUUUCGAGGAGAUGGGUCUAUUCAUCAGGCUAGUAGUAUACCCUCGGUUUGAGGUUGGUGAAAUUUGAUUGUAAACAGUUCUGCAGAAAUAUAUAACUUAUCAUAGUGAACAUCUUGGAAUGGAGUACUGACCGCAGACACAUAAUACUGGCCGUAGAUAACGAUGAAAUAUCAGCUAUGCUGUUUAGUGCAGAAUGAUGUUGAAAUGGGGAAGAGGCUCUUGAUCGGAUUGCUAGCGUUCAAUCAAAAUAUCUCUUUUUCCUCACGUCCAAUGCAGUAGAUAAAGAUGAAAUUAUAAGUCCUCCGUUAUUCAGGUCAGGCAGCCAUACGAAGAGGAAGCCUGAAAUUCUCUUGGCCAGUGAUCAUUGCCCAUUUUACUGGCCAAUUGUAGUGGACUUUAUAGUCUUUUAAUUAGCCAAUCUAUCUGUUGUUUGUGCUGAAUCUCUUUGCAGAAGUAACUAUUUCCACUUUCCAUUUAGUCCAAUUUUAGAUUUCAAUUUGCUAGUAUGAAUGUCAACAUUACAGCUUUUACAUAAUUUCCUUGGCAUGUAGUAGCUUGUUGAUGCAAGAUUGGGAUUUCUGUCCUUAUUUGUGCCCGAGAGAGCAUUGCAGUUCAUAACGUCACCUCCUACAUCUGUUAUUUGCCGCCAUCUACUGAGAAGUGCACACAAGAUCUUCUAUGUGAAUGUAGUUCCUCUUCCUCUGUUUGCUGUCACUGAGCACAAGCACUUGCUUGCCAUGCACACUAAUCAUGUGAUUAUGGUAAUCAAGUUUGAAGAUUGCAGCUGAGAAGAAAGCAGUUCCUUAUGAGAGCUUAAACGUGGUUGCUUAAGUUGAAAUGACAGUGGUUGUUUUGUAGUGUGCACACAUUUUUCUUUCUAAAUUGUUAUGCUGUUUCGCUGUGUUUCAGUUUUCUUAUUAGCUAUUUACUUGCUCUUUUAUUAAACUUUUUGAUAUCA